rnacentral:rRNA from 1 species
UACGUAGGUGACAAGCGUUAUCCGGAAUUACUGGGCGUAAAGCGCACGCAGGCGGCUGCGUAAGUCUGACGUGAAAUCUCUCGGCUUAACCGGGAGCGGUCGUUGGAAACUAUGCGGCUUGAGGCGAUGAGAGGGGUGUGGAAUUCCCGGUGUAGUGGUGGAAUGCGUAGAUAUCGGGAGGAACGCCAGCGGCGAAGGCGGCACUCUGGGCCGACACUGACGCUGAGGAGCGAAAGCGUGGGGAGCGAACAGG